rnacentral:rRNA from 1 species
GACGAACGCUGGCGGCGUGCCUAAUACAUGCAAGUAGAACGAGUUGCGAACGGGUGAGUAACGCGUGGUAACCUGCCUCAUAGCGGGGGAUAACUAUUGGAAACGAUAGCUAAUACCGCAUACCAUCGGAUGUGCCCAGAUGGGAUUAGCUAGUAGGUGGGGUAACGGCUCACCUAGGCGACGAUCCCUAGCUGGUCUGAGAGGAUGACCAGCAAACCUGGAACUGAGACACGGUCCAGACCCCUACGGGAGGAACAAGUGGGGAAGAUUGGACAAUGGGCGCAAGCCUGAUGCAGCCAUGCCGGGGGUAGGAAGAAGGCCUGCGGGUUGAAAAGUACUUUCAGCGAGGAGGCGUUACUCGCAGAAGAAGCACCGGCUAACUCCGUGCCAGCCGCCGCGGUAAUAC